rnacentral:rRNA from 1 species
UACAGGGGGGGCAAGCGUUGUUCGGAAUUACUGGGCGUAAAGCGUGCGCAGGCGGCUUUGCAAGACAGAUGUGAAAUCCCCGGGCUCAACCUGGGAACUGCAUUUGUGACUGCAUGGCUGGAGUGCGGCAGAGGGGGAUGGAAUUCCGCGUGUAGCAGUGAAAUGCGUAGAUAUGCGGAGGAACACCGAUGGCGAAGGCAAUCCCCUGGGCCUGCACUGACGCUCAUGCACGAAAGCGUGGGGAGCAAACAGG